UAAUUUUGUUUAGAUGUGUUAUAAAUUAUACCACAAUAAAUUAUGAUAUAAAAAAGUAAGGUAGGAUAUGAGGACAAUGAUUAAAGAAUAAAUUUACUUAUGGAAAUUUAGAUGUUUGUUGAUUGGUUUCAAAAUGUUAUGUUUGUGACAAAAAAGUAAAGAUACUAUUACAUUAAGUGUCUAUUGCACUUAAUGUGUACAUUAUUGUAAAGAAAUGCUUGAAGAUAGUAGUUUUUCUUAAUAUGGUAAAAACCUUAACAUUGAGCGAGCCAAGGUGAUUUACUUUAUUAAUUGAAUCGACAAAAGGCGUGUAAAUCACAAAAGAACAAAUGAUAUUUUUCACAUUUAUUUUUACUGUAUUUAUUAAUAGCUAUUAUUUAAAUAUAAAUUCAUUUU